rnacentral:lncRNA from 1 species
AGAUAAGUUAUCUUCCUUUUUAUUUAGACAGAAAAGGGGAGAUGAUGAGGGAAGUACUUCUGUGUAUGUUUAUCUUAUUGAUUGUUGGCCAAUGAAACAGCAAGUUAGACAGGACUAGGAGUCAAAGAGGAUUCUGGGAAAUGUAGUAGAGAAGUGGUGAUCCAGGCAGGAAGUGACAUAGCAAGGAGACUCAUAUUUAGCAAGGAGAAACAGGAAGUGCCCCCCUUUCCCCUUCGCCUCCUCCAGCGGCGGGAUAUGAGCCACCAGCAAGGAGGGAUGCCAAUAAGGCGUCUGCUGUGGCCCCUUACGUCCUGAUGAAGACCUAGUUGCUACCAAACGGAAGAGGAGCUGUGGAUUUCCCUUGGCUCCACCAUCACUAGUCUGUGGAGUACCUCAGCCGCAUGCUGGCAGCUCAAUGCUUGGGUCUGUCACACAUCUCCUCAAGUAGCUUUGACAUAACAAGAUGACAUCUUCUAAUUCCUAAAGCUGAGAUGUGGGGAGAAAGCAGCUUCCAUCACUUGGUAUUUUCCUCGGCUCGAGGAGGAAUUCUUCCCAGGACUUUCAAGCCCCUCCACCAUCCCUUGUCCCGAGUUUUUCUGUGAAGAGAAGGAAUUACUUCAGGUCACUAGCUUAUGUCAAGACAUUGCAGCUCGUCUGUCCACCAAGGCAAAGCACGUGCUGGGCCUUAGGCAAAGAUAGACCCUAACAGUGCCACUCUCAGAGGGCGCUCAGGGAGCUCCAUACUCAACUUUCAACUCUGGCCCUGGUGUUAUGAAUGCAGCCUGUGUGAGCUUUGUGGAAACUUCAGAAGUUAUUCGGAGACUCUAAGGGAUGUAAUGAAAGACCCCUGCCCCUUAGCCCUUUCUUUCUCAAGUUUGCCUCCUCCUCCGGUCGGCGGCUUCCCCGAUCCCCACCCCCCGCCGGC